CACCUCACUAACCUGCAGCCUGAAGAUGCUGGGGGCUAUUUCUGUACCUACAGAACAGCAGCCUCCCUCAAGUCAGGACAGAGUCAGCACUUAGAGUUGGUGGUCACAGAUGGAGUGGGAGGAGGUGGAGGACAUUGCCCCAGACCGUCAGACAGCAAGCGCAUCUUCCUGACCGCCUUCAGUUGCCUCAGCAUCUGUCUUCUCUUUGUCUCCAUCUUCUUUAUCUACAGAUGCACACGGCAAGGUUCAUCACAUGAAGAACCCCCCAAGAGGUAGAUGAAUGCGCAGGCCUCAGCAAGCCUCACACCCUCAUUUCCUCAGCCCUCCCUCCCUCCAGCCUGUUUCCGCCUCACUUCCCCCAGAGUAUUCACCCUCUCCCUCAAGCCUUUAUAACCUAUAAUUCCAUGUUCCAUUCAUAGUCCCUCUUCUG